rnacentral:rRNA from 1 species
AGUGAACGCUGGCGGUAGGCCUAACACAUGCAAGUCGAACGGCAGCACAGUAAGAGCUUGCUCUUACGGGUGGCGAGUGGCGGACGGGUGAGGAAUACAUCGGAAUCUACUUUUUCGUGGGGGAUGACGUAGGGAAACUUACGCUAAUACCGCAUACGACCUACGGGUGAAAGUAGGGGAUCUUCGGACCUUGCGCGAUUGAAUGAGCCGAUGUCGGAUUAGCUAGUUGGCGGGGUAAAGGCCCACCAAGGCGACGAUCCGUAGCUGGUCUGAGAGGAUGAUCAGCCACACUGGAACUGAGACACGGUCCAGACUCCUACGGGAGGCAGCAGUGGGGAAUAUUGGACAAUGGGCGCAAGCCUGAUCCAGCCAUACCGCGUGGGUGAAGAAGGCCUUCGGGUUGUAAAGCCCUUUUGUUGGGAAAGAAAAGCAGCAGGUUAAUACCCCGCUGUUCUGACGGUACCCAAAGAAUAAGCACCGGCUAACUUCGUG